GACUGUCACUUAAUGACGUCUUGCAUACUGGUCCAAAUUUACAGGCAGACUUAUUUUUGCUUUUACUCCGCUUUCGUUUGUUCCCUGUGGCAUUGUGCGCUGAUGUGGAACAAAUGUACUUACGCAUUAGGGUGACCACAGACCACCAUAAAUAUUUAAAAAUAUUGUACCGCUUUAAAAAUGAUAAACUUCGCAUUUUCGCUUUUAACUGUCUGCCCUUUGGUUUAAAGUCAUCACCUUAUUUAGCAAUGCGUACUAUACGUCAAUUAGCAUCAGAAGAAUGUUAUCGUUAUCCAGAAGCCGCUAGUGUAGCUGAGUCUCAAUUAUAUAUGGAUGAUCUCGUCACAUCCCUACACGAAGAUAUUUCAGCUAUCAAACUAUCGAAACAACUAAUUUCACUCUUUAAAUCAGGAGGUUUUAAUUUAACAAAAUGGGCAAGUAACUCCACUGCCUUUCUUAAUAGCCUUCCAGAAACGCACCGCUCUUCUGUAAGCUUCUCUGAUGAUGCUAAUAAUACCAUGAAAGUUUUAGGCCUUGCAUGGCUUCCCGCUAAUGACUCAUUUUUUAUGACGAGCUCAAACACUAAUGAAAAGUGCACUAAAAGAACAAUAUUAUCUUUAGUCGCACGCUUGUUCGACGUGCUUGGUUUGGUUGCUCCAGUUAUACUGUUCGCUAAAUUGCUUAUUAAGGAACUCUGGAAUUCUAAAAUAGACUGGGAUGAUACACCUCCAGAUACAAUUAUUUACCGCUACUCUUCACUAGUGAAAGAGCUUCCAUUGCUUUCAACUAUCGCAAUACCGCGCCAUAUUGGAGUUUUUAAAGACUGUGAAGUAAAUAUUGUUGCAUUUUGUGAUGCAAGCUUGAACGCUUACGGUUGCGUUGUUUAUUUACACAUUACAGAUCCCACAGGAGAUAUUACUUUAAGAUUAUUGUGCUCAAAAUCAAAGGUUUCUCCGGUUAAGAUAACUACAUUAGCUCGCCUUGAGCUUUGUGCCGCUCUUCUUUUGUCAAAAUUAGUUAAACUUAUUUAUAACGCUUAUAAUUCUUUACAUCCUAUCACCGCUAUAUACGCUUUCUCAGAUUCUACAAUUGCUCUUUCUUGGAUUAAAUCUUCCCCGCAUAGAUGGUCAAUAUUUGUAGGAAACCGCAUCGCUCAAAUUCAGGAGAAUUUAUCACCUGACCGCUUUUUUCAUAUUAAUGGUAAGGAAAAUCCUAGCGAUUGUGUGUCACGAGGUCUUUUACCGUCACAAAUUAUUAAUAACUCGCUUUGGUGGCAGGGUCCUUCUUGGGCCUGCUAUCCUAUUUCACAAUGGCCUAUUGAACCUUUUGUACCUUGUAAAUCUGGAAGUGACAUACCUGAAAUGAAAAAAUCUGUAACACUUACCGCUUUAACUGUUGUCGAAGAUUCCCCAAUAUAUCAACUUGGGUUGAGAGUUUCGUCAUGGUCAAAACUUCUUCGCUGUGUUGUUUAUGUACUUCGAUUUAUAAGAAAACUACCGCGAAACAAGUUUGUAACCGCAUCCGAUUUAAAUACUGCUGAGAAAGCUAUUAUUCGAGCUCUUCAAGCUAAAUAUUUUGGUCAUGAUAUUGCCAGCAUUAGAAAAUUAGAUUUACCUUCGAAAAAUAUUCGUAAACUUAGUCCAUUUAUUGACGAAGAUGGAAUUUUGCGUAUUCAGGGUAGACUUUCGAGCUCUGAUUUACCGUUUGAAACGCAACACCCCGCUUUAUUGCCAAAACACGAUCACAUAAUAAAUAUUAUUGUUGAUUAUUUUCAUAAUACAAACUUGCACACUGGUCCGGACCUUUUGAUGUCCAUUAUUCGUCAACGCUUUUGGAUAUUGUCCGCUAGAAACGUUAUAAGAAAAAGAGUGCAUAUGUGUAAAUCAUGUUUUCGUGUAUCACCUUCACACCCAACUCCCAUGAUGGCUGACCUUCCGUCAAGCCGUGUAAUGGAGGCCAAAGCUUUCUGUCACACGGGAGUAGAUUACGCGGGCCCAUUUAAGAUAACGCUUGUACGCAAACGUGGUCAUCAUUCACAAAAGGCUUACAUUUGCCUGUUCGUAUGCUUAACGACAAAGGCUAUACAUAUUGAGUUAGCCUCGGAUUUGUCAACGGACUCAUUUCUUGCCGCUUUCAAACGUUUUAUAUCUCGUCGAGGUCCAGUUUCUUUCAUGUAUUCAGAUAAUGGCACUAAUUUUGUUGGCGCAAAGGCUCAGUUAGAUGAAAUGUAUAAACUUCUAGUUUCAAAUAAUUUUAUAUCCGCAUGGAAUGAUGAAUUAACUAAAUACCGAAUCAUUUGGAAGAUGAUCCCGCCUCGGGCUCCACAUUUUGGAGGUUUAUGGGAAUCAAACAUUAAAUCCGUUAAAACUCAUUUAAAUAGAGUAAUAGGCGCACAAAUUCUCACUUACGAAGAGAUGUUAACUGUGUUGAAUCAAAUAGAAUGUCUUAUGAAUUCCAGACCUUUAUGUCUUUUAUCCGCAGAUCCCAACCCCGAAAUUCUCACACCCGCACAUUUUUUGAUGUCCACUCCUUUGCAGUAUUUACCCGCGUCUGAAUUGUCCGCAAAUCAGAUGAGUCUAACUAAUCGCAAAGCGUUGUUAGAUAGUUUGGUUAAUUCCUAUUGGAGGAAAUGGAGAUUAGAGUACCUGCAUACGUUGCAAGUCAGACAGAAGUGGUGUACAUCAGAUAACCCCGUGAAGGUUGGGACAGUAGUUCUUAUUCAUCAAGAUGACAUUCCACCGCUCCGCUGGCCACUUGGAGUUAUACAAGAGGUGUAUCCAGGUGCCGAUAACAUUAUACGCGUUGCUUUGGUAAAAACGAAAUCUGGAUUUCUUAAACGUCCAGUUGUAAAAUUAUAUCCGCUACCGCUAGAAUAAAUUAGAGUACCGCAUGUCAUCAACCGCUUCAACUCUACUCGUAAACAUUCCUGAUGGCUUAUUAUUAAUUAAAAUUUGUUUAUUUUCAAAUAACUUCCCGCUAUUUAAGCUUUAUGCUUCCUAUCUUAGUAUCUUUAUAUAUUUGUUGAAAGUCCUGCGAACUUUCAAGGCGGGCAGGAUGGUCACGCGGAUUUAGUAAUGGGAUGCUAAUGAAUUAUUGGGAUGGCGCCACCUUUGGAGUUUGUUAGUUACUAAUUACCGCGACUAUCCAAAGCGUGGUUCUACCCGAUCGAUCACGCUUUACCGCUAGCUGCCUAGAUGGCGGCACUUGUAUAUUGUGUGGUGCUUGAGCUUACGAAAAGCUACGUGAGCUUCGUCACCCCCUCCCGCCGCCCGCGUGCUUCCAUCGCCGACGCCCGCACGACAGUCACUGGCAAGGUCUACAGAUCGCGUUAUCCAAACAUGGUCAUUAUCAGAGACCAUAUUUGGCCUGGCCAUAGUCCUGUCUGUCUACUUGGCUUUAGUCGUAAAAAUACUACCGUCGUUCAUGAAGC